rnacentral:rRNA from 1 species
UGGGGAAUAUUGCACAAUGGGCGCAAGCCUGAUGCAGCCAUGCCGCGUGUAUGAAGAAGGCCUUCGGGUUGUAAAGUACUUUCAGCGGGGAGGAAGGUGUUGAGGUUAAUAACCUCAGCAAUUGACGUUACCCGCAGAAGAAGCACCGGCUAACUCCGUGCCAGCAGCCGCGGUAAUACGGAGGGUGCAAGCGUUAAUCGGAAUUACUGGGCGUAAAGCGCACGCAGGCGGUCUGUCAAGUCGGAUGUGAAAUCCCCGGGCUCAACCUGGGAACUGCAUUCGAAACUGGCAGGCUAGAGUCUUGUAGAGGGGGGUAGAAUUCCUGGUGUAGCGGUGAAAUGCGUAGAGAUCUGGAGGAAUACCGGUGGCGAAGGCGGCCCCCUGGACAAAGACUGACGCUCAGGUGCGAAAGCGUGGGGAGCAAACA